rnacentral:lncRNA from 1 species
CUCUAAUCUUCAUUUUUCAAGGGCAUUAUUCUCUAAUCAUUGAACCCCAUCCAAACCCUCUUUUUUUUUUAUUAUGUUGUACAUGUACUGUUAUACCACUGAUCGAGACUAGGGUGAGGAUAGGGAGCCCGCUAACAAUUUUAACCUCGCCACAUUAUUUAUGUAUGCGCCUGUCCCAAGUCAGGAGCCUGCAAUUCAGUAGUUGUCGUUUGUUUAUGUUUUACAUAUUUAUUUUUCAUUCAUUUUUUUUUGUUAUAUAAAUAAGGCGGUUCGUUUUCUUGUUUGAAUUGUUUUACAUUGUCAUAUCAGGGCCUUUUAUAGCUGACCAUGCGGUAUGGGCAUUACUCAUUGUUGAAGGCCGUACGGUGAUCUAUAUUUGUUAAUGUCUCUGUCAUUUUGGUCUCUUGUGGACUGUUGUCUAAUUGGAAAUCAUACCACAUCUUCUUUUUUUAUAUUCCUG